GAUGAAGAACGUAGCGAAAUGCGAUAAGUAAUGUGAAUUGCAGAAUUCAGUGAAUCAUCGAAUCUUUGAACGCACCUUGCGCCCCUUGGUUAUUCCAAAGGGCAUGCCUGUUUGAGAAUCAUGAACACCUCAACUCUUGUGGUUUCCCACAAUGAGCUUGGACUGUGGAGGUUUUGUUGGCCCUGUGGUCAGCUCCUCUCAAAUGGAUCAGCUUACCGGUGUUUGGUGGCAUUACGGGUGUGAUAACUAUCUACGCUCGUGGUCGUCACCAAAUAACCUCCAGUGAUGGAGGUUCGCUGGAGCUUAUAAAUGUCUCUCCCCAGUGAAGACAGCCUUUGAACGUUCGAUCUCAAAUCAGGUAGGACUACCCGCUGAACUUAAGCAUAUCAAUAAGCGGAGGA
rnacentral:misc_RNA from 1 species